GGCUGGAUGGUGUAGUUGGUUAUCACGUAUCGCUCACAAAGCGGUUUUUCCGCUUCAAAGUGCCGAUAAGGUCCUGGGAUCGAACCCCAGUCUAGUCA
rfam:Microsporum canis CBS 113480 supercont1.6 genomic scaffold, whole genome shotgun sequence.